GAGAAACUAAACCCUAACAUGGAAUUAACUUUGAACUAAACAUAGUUGAACAAAUAAUAUAUAACUUUGAACCCUAAUAUAUUGGAAUUGAACCCCUAAAAUCACUGUUUUUCGGAAAAAUAAAAGAAAGGAAAGAGAAACUAACCUUGGGAGUGGAGGUCGCCGGAAUUUGCUGCUGCCGUCAGGGGUCGCCGGUGGCGGGGGUGUCGCUGCUGCUGGAAGUCGGAGGGGAGAAGAGAUUUUGAGUGUUAGAGGAGAAAGAUUUUAAUUUGGGGAAUAAUUUUGAAAGAAUGGACCUGAAACCCGUUUUGGCUCAUGUUAAAAACUUGGUCGCUAUUUUGGUAGCCAAAUUAUUUUUGACUGUUUGACCAAAAUAGCGACCAACGUUGGUCUCCAUUUUUGACCGUUUGAUCAAAAUGGCGACCAACUUUGGGGUAUGACGUGGGGUAUGAUGAAUAUGAAUCUAGGAAGAAGAAGAGUUUAGAAGGUAAGAUAGGUGGUGAUGAGCCUUAUUACCUCUCAGAUGAAGCUGCUAGUUUUGAGACAGAUCCAGAUGAUGUUGAUGAUGAAGGUGAAGGGGAGGUUCAACAGAAAGUUAAAGCUAGAAGAAGAAAGAUUAAAAGAAGAGUAAUCUUUGACAAGACUUGCAAGAAAAUUGCAAGUGUGAGAGAUUUCAGAGAAGCUGUAACUAAAUAUGUUGUUCAACAAAAGGUUUCUAUAAAAAAGUAUGUAAAUGAACCUACAAAGGUGAGAGUUAAGUUCAAGAAGGCAUCUUGUUCUUGGCUUCUAGUUGCUAGUUAUGAUUCUAGGACUAAGGAUUUUGUAGUCAAGAACUACAAUCCAGUUCACAAAUGUGACCCUACUAACAGAAACAAGUUAUGUAAUUCAAAGUUCUUGGCUAAAAGGUUCAAUGAGAGGAUAAAAGAACAACCUAACAUUAGAAUAUUCAAGUUUCAAGAGUUGAUUAGAAAGAAAUUAGGAUUAUAUGUUGGGAGGACAGUUUGUAGGAGGGCAAAAAAUAUUAUGUUGAAUGAGAUAAUGGGUGAUCAUAAACUGGAGUAUGGCAGGAUUUUAGAUUAUAGGGAUUGGUUGCUUAGAUCUAAUCCAGGGAGUACAUAUAUAGUGAAACUUAGUGAAGAAACUUUUGAAGGUGGGAAGAAAAUGUUUGUUGGGCUCUACAUUUGUUUUGAUGCAAUGAAGAAGUCAUACUUAGCUGGUUGUAGGCCAUGCAUUGGAUUGGAUGGAAGGGGUAUGUAGAGGCCAACUACUUGUAGCAGUUUGCAAAGAUGGAAAUAAUCAGAUGCUUCUACUUGCUUGGGCUGUUGUUGAGAUUGAAAAUAUGCACACUUGGAGGUGGUUUGUCAACCUUUUAAAGAGUGAUCUUCAGCUUGGAGAUGGUACAAAUCUGACCAUAAUAACAGACAUGCAAAAGGAAAUCACUUGUAGUUUAUUGUUAUUUUUCUAUUGCUAUUUCACUUAAAACUAACUACCAUUAUUCAUUUUCCAGGGGCUUGAGAAUGCUAUAGCAGACCUACUUCCAAAUUCUGAACAUAGAAUGUGUGCAAGGCACAUCCUAGCUAACUGGUCUAAGAAAUGGAGGGGCAUAAAGAGAAGAAACUGCUUUUGGAGGUGUGCAAGGUCUACCUAUGAGUGGGAGUUGAAGAAAAAUCUGGAUGACAUGAAGAAAUUGACGACUAAGAUAGUUGAUGCACUGUUGUAUUACAACAUUGAAAGAUGGAGUAAGGUGUAUUUCAACAUAUUCUACAAGUCUGAUAGUGUUGACAAUAAUAUGGCAGAAUGUUUCAAUGCUUGGAUUAUGGCAGCAAGGUAGAAGACUAUAGUGACAAUGCUUGAAGAAAUAAGGGUGAAGAUGAUGAACAAAAUAGGUCAGCUCAGACAGUUUGGAAACACUUGGAUUACUGAUUUUUCACCAAUGGCCAUGAAAGUCUUGGAAGAGAACACAGAAAGGUCAAUGAAAUGUAACAUUUUCUGGAAUGGUGAGCAUGGAUUUGAAGUGAAGCAAGGAUCAGGUGCAAGUGAAGUGAAAUAGCAUGUGCUCAUGCAGUUGCUGCCCUGCAUUAUAAAAAUUUGGAGCCUAUGAACUAUAUUUCUCACUGGUUCAGUAAUGCCACUUACAUGAAAACAUACAGUUACUUUUUUCAGCCUGUCUUGGGUAUGAAUAUAUGGCCAAAGUCACAAAACCCAACUGUUAUACCACCUCAUGUCAAGAAAAUGCCUGGAAGGCCAAAGAAGAUUAGAAGAAAAGAGCCUGGUGAAAAUAAAACAGGAAAAUUGUCCAAAAGUGGAGUGGAAAUGACAUGUAGCAAUUGUCAUAACAAGGGUCAUAACAAGAGGGGCUAUGCAAAGGAUGCUAGAAGUAAUACUGCUGCAACUUCAGCAAGUUAUGUGCCUACAAGUGUUGGUAGUUCAAAGCCACCAAAGCAAAGUACUAGAAGAGGAAGGGGUAGGCCAAAAGGUUCUAAAGAAAAGGUGAAGUUCUUCCCUUUAAUGUCUUCUUUCUCUUUUUUAAAUAAUUACCAGAUUUUUACUUUUGAUUAUUUCAUGUAGGAUGUUGGUACUAGCACUGAUGUAAGAACACAACCAAGGAUGGUUGGGAUGGGAGUUUUACACACUCAAAGUGGCUUCAAAAUUCAAAAUGUAAGUCUAACACAAACUCUCAUAUUUAGGUGAUUUCAUUUGUAUGAUUUUCUGUUGGGUUUUGGCAGUCUGGAAUGUCAUUUACAAACUUUAAGAAUGUGAGGUCCUCGGCAGAAGUAACUGGAGAUCUAGGACAUCAACCAACACUGACAUCAAGGCAGCUUCAACAAUUGAGAGGCAAGAAGCUCAUUCAAACAAGGUCUAGGGCUGCUAAGUUGAGCCAGGAAAGCACCACUGCAAAUCAAUCCAGUUGAUGAAGCUAUGAUUUUGUUGAUGACUGUAUUGUAAUAGACUGCAUUAUGCUAAAAUUUUAAGCAGCUAUAGACUGCACCUGUAUUUUGAUAAGGAUUUUUAGGUAGCCAUAGACUGCAUUUCGCUGCUGCUAUUCUGUAUUGUUAGAUUUGGUGUCUGUUUUGCUGCUGCUACAAUGACAACAAACAGCUGUUUUGUUAACUCAUUUUGUGACUUUAUGCAACAAAUGCAUAUAUGAUGUUUUGGUGAUCUAUGAGUUGUACAAGUUGAUAGUAUGUGUGUUUGCCAGGAAAUGAAAUACUUUGGUUGGUGACAAGGAAACUUAGUACUGUUGUGUGUCUAUUGUUGAUUGCCAAUUUCUGAAGUUUAUGUAGUAUGAAGUUUACUUCCCAAUAUAAAAACAGCGCUUCUUUAGAAACAAUAAUUGAUAAGUAACAACAACAUAUACAUAUUGAGAUGAGAAUACUACAAAAUAUUGAAAUGACAAAACUACAAAAGGCUUACAUUCAAAUCAAAGGUCCAUUGUAAACAUACAAAAUAAAACCUACAAGCAACAUCUACAUUCAUAUUGAGAUGACAAAACUAGAUUCACAAUGGCAACCUCAUUGCAUCUUCUUUCAAUGAGAUUCCUGGAUACCCACAAGCAACAAGAAUAAUACAUAUCCCCAAUAUAAUGAACCAAAGUACAUUUUCCCUAGCCUUUGACUUAGAUAAUUUACUCUUCCACUUCUUUUCCUUCUCUUUCAUCUUCUCCAUAUUGUCACACCCCUUUUUACAAACUUCACUAACCCUCUUAAAUUAAUAAAAAGAUUUAGUAAAACUUGAAAAAGGUUUUCAAUCCGAAAAGUGACAAAAUUAUGUGUUCAAAAGGAUUAACUCAGAGUCGCCACCUGACAUUUGAUUUCAGUGUGUCAGGUCACCGUUUUUUCUAAAAAUAAUUUUUUUCCUUUCAAAACACUAUAGACUCUAAAAACUAAGUCUACACCAAAGAUUCGGGUAAGGGGGUUCAUUUGACUCGGGGAGAAGGUGUUAGGCACUCCCCAAGUCCCGUGAAAAUUACGGUUGCGUACUCGAUCUAGUUGGCUUUUAAAAUAUUAAAGUUGAGGUAAAACUAAACACAGAAAAGAAAAACAAACACACAAGAGUCUCAAGGUCGUCCCCAGCUAAUAUAAGAAAAAUGAAAAAUGAAAAUAAAAAUAAAAAUAUUAAGAGUUCUACUUUCCGCCUCCAAAUACAAAUACUUCGGGGCAUACCCCGGAUAAAAAUAUAAACAAAUCCUACAAGGCAUUCCCCGAAUAAUAAACUAAAAAAACGACCUCUCGCCUCAAAUAGAAAUGAGAUAAAACCUAAGGUUUGUCUACCCAAGUGAUGACGGGCUAAGCAUGCUUCUAACGAAAAACGAUAAAUAAAAGCAAUAAUAAAAUAUUCUAAAUCUAAAUUGUCAUUCACAUUUAAUCCCGAAUCCCUCUAUCAACUCUUGAAAUUCAUCAACCAUUUCCAAAUCCCUACGGCCUACUUAUUUCUUAAAAAAUGAUUUAAAUCCAAGUCUUACUUUUAAUUUGGAGUCUCAUCUAAGGUUGAAUUAGAUUUAAAAAACUAAAUCUCGUCUCUUCUUCCAAGCCAACAUGGGGUUACUGGCAGAAUAGUCAAACCAAAGGAACAAGAAUAAGAUAGCAAAUCAACUUUAACCCAUUCAAGACAUAGAGCAUCACAAAAUAACAUAAAUCAGGCAACAAAUCAAACCUUAAUUCAUCCCAAAGUAUAGAGUAAGAUAGAAAAGAGAAUAGACCUUUAAUGGGCUUUUUCCAAUAAUAGAAUCUCCCAGAAUCUGGCGACGAGAACUCGACCGGAGCAGUGAACAAUGAUAGAAAAUGGAACGGCGACCGGAAAACCUCUUGACCGCACCUCAAUCGGAUUCAAACCCAACUCCAACACUUAAAGAAAAAUUCAUUCUCAAGCUCCAAGCUCUGGAAUCGGAAAAUGAACAGAUUCUUUUCAACUCGAUUUUCUCUUCUUUUUUUUUAGCCAAAACCCGACAUUGAAAACAGAAACGAAAAAGCAAUUCGAAUCCAAUUUUCAACCCAGAAAAUAUCCUUUCUCGUUUCUUUGUGUUUAUAUGUGUGUUAAUGUUUACCGGCGAGCUCGUCACUGCCUUGGCGAGAGGAGGAGAACCUGGCGACUUCUGGUGGUCAAAGUUGACGGUUCUCCUGUAAUGGUGCUGCUUUGAAGAAGAAGAUAGCUUGAAAGUCUUUUUUUUUUGUUCGAAGGGC
rnacentral:lncRNA from 1 species